GCCUCCCAAAGUGCUGGGAUUAUAGGUGUGGGCCACCAUGCCCAGGCUGUUAUAACUAAUUAUUCUCCUCUUUGUCUUAGGGAUAUAUUUAAUGCCACAUAAUCUUCAAUGCUUAAGGGAUGUCCCCGAAGAGGAUGAAAGAACGGACAGAGAAGUAAAUAAUGGGACAGGAAGAAGAAACAGUGAGAACAGGAGGGCAGUGGGCAGGAGGAAAUGAAGAGAGGAAGAAAACGAGGCCAAAGUAGGGGAGAGAGGGGGCAGCUGGUGCCUGAGCUGUCCAUGUCCCUGGCUUGCAGACAACAUUCCCAAGGAAGCCGUGUUCCUGUUGCUCAUUAGUUCCCUGGUCAACUGGCCCGUUGUCAGGCUCUUGCCUGUAGCCAGUUGAGUGUCCUCUAACUGGGAGCAGCUGAAACUUAAAGGGUUUUACAUUGUGUAUUGUUUCCAGAGCUCCCUUUUUCCUGUGGCUUCUGUUUUUCUUAUUAAAUGCUGCUGCUGAUUUUGCAGCUGAAAGACAGACAGAAAGACUACUGAAGAAGGCCUUGCAACCCCUAACGCUUCAGGGAAGCAGUGGGUCUCUACGCUGGAGAUGCUUUCUGGCUGCAUAGUUUACAAACGAACUGGCAAGGCAAGCUGGACCUUUCAUCCAAGAGUGCAGAUUAAUGUUGCCUCUGAGUGUUUGAAGGAGCCACGAGGUCUGACUUAUGCACCGCCCUUUCUUCCUGGCAGAAGCUGAUGGGCCUGUUUCUGCUGUUAUAUCUGGGGAGCUUCCCACCAGGAAGGGACAAGCUUGUUGUAAAAAACUUGGUGAGUUUAUGUCCGGUCGGCAGUCGCAAGGAAUACUGGACCACUCGGAUGCUCUGGGAUCCCUACAUCUUUCCAUUGCUUCCUGAGCCAGAGAGUAUAAGAGGACAGGAAAUAAUUCACUCUUCUCUGCUGAAGUCCAGAAGCUGCAAUGGGGUAACAGCCAGAACAGGGGGGCUGGCCUAGAGGCUUGGAUUUCCUGCUUAUGAGUGCACCCCGCGAAUAUCCAGAACUCCGUGGGCCUCCCAGGGUUGAAGCAACAAGCCACAGGUCCAGGACUUGGCUUUAGGACCCCUUGGUCCCAGCAGUGGCUGUUUGUCCACCCAUAUAUUUGUUACUCAGCAUCACUGUGGCCAUUGCUGACUGAUACAUAGGAGGUACUCAAAAGUCACUGACCAAGGAAGCUGGGUGAGCUCACCUCCUCCUCAUCACCUUUUCUCCUUUCCAUGCCGUACUUGGUGGGAGUCUUCAUGGACCAUGGUUCUGCACGAGGUGAUGUUGUGUUUGCAGAGGGUUUUUUUUUUUUUUUGCCCUUGAAGAGCACUUACGUCUGGAGAGCAAGACACAUGCUGAUGAGCAGGAGCUGACGGGCUUGCUGCCACGUGAGAAAGUCCUCGGAUGAGCUGUCUGGCUGCGGGGAGGUGUCUGCGGCUCAGACAUGGAGGAUCCAGUGGAGGAUGCUGGGACAGAGCCACAACAUGGAAGAAGCCUGGGCCCCUGAACCACCAUACUGAAGAGCAUCCUAUGCCAGCAUGAAUGGGAUACACCUUUCCCUGUGUUAAGCCACUUCAAUUUUGAGAUUGUUAUUGGGGCAGCAAGGACUACAGCAGCUGUUGUAGAGAGAUGAUAGAAGCCUGAAUUAGGCUAGGUGGUAACAGCUCAUCUCUGCUCCACUUGGCCUCAGUCGGGGUAACGUGGUGGCUGACAGCUGGAGCCACCUGAAGUCAUGCACACUGUGGGCCCGAGAGUUCACUGAGGCUCAGGCCAAAUGGAUGGCGACAGCCCUGGGAAUGGUAGAAGGCAGGGAGACAAAGGCCAUCAGAAGUGGCUGUGACUCCAGUCUCAUCCCAUUGGCUAAAGCAAGCCAUGGGCUGAGCCCUUCACUGGGGAAGGGAAAAAAACACUGUCUGUUCUCACGAUGGGCACUGCCAAGUCACUGCAAAGGGUGGGUAUGUGCCUGAAGCCCACAGGUGCCCUUGAUGGACCAGAGUGGCAAAGAUGCCCCAUUUCCAUUAAAAAAUGCCAUAUUUAUGCACUGCAGCAAAGCCGACAGUCCCAGCAGAUGAGGCUACAUCAAGGGCAUUUCAGUGAGAGCGGUGGGGACGGCAGGGAGCCAUAAUUCAAUCUGCCAUAAGGGGUGCUGUGGGCAUGCAUUACUUUCCUCCACCUGGUAGACACAGACACAAAGACAAAUUACAGGGGACACUGCAGACAACAAAGGCAAAAUCCCCAAAUCCCUCAUCUCUAGACGUUUACACCUUGAAGUGUUGGAGUUGAUCUUUGGCAAAAGCCCCAGCUUACUUCACCAACUAGAAACACAUGAGCUAAAAAUGAAUGUCCUCUGCUGAAGCAUCAUUUUGAAAAAGUCUAGAACUAACUAUCCGCCUACCUCUUCAAAGCUUACCUGGGGUCCCCUUUCCUGACUUCAGCGCUGGUAACGGCUGAGCUCUCCCUUCCCCAGCGAGGACCUGGUGAGUCCCUGGUUGCCUUUGCUGCUGUGCAGAAACAGUGGGGUAUUGUUUUGAGGGAAAUGGAGCAUCUUUGUCGCUCUGGUCCAUCCGCUACAGCCCUGGUUUUGACCUAUGGUCUGGCCAUUUGGGGCGCUGCAAGGUUGAGGAGGGGCUCAAAAUAAUGCUAUCUGUGUCUUGGCCCACCACACUGGGCUGUUGUGUGAGACACUUGGAGCAAAGUGGAAAGGCAGGGUGCAGAGCCUGGGGGCUGCCCAGAGGGCGGGGAAGCUGGCCCAGCUUUGGGCUCCCUGAAAUCCUCAGACUGUUUUUCAAACAGUUGGGGGACUGCUUAACACCCACAGUCAGUUUUUCCAAGUUCUACUUUUUUCCCAUUGAUUUAACCCUAUGUGUAGCUCGGUGGAAAUUUCGCCUUUGCAUGGGCCUGAAUGUGCACGUGCCUGAGUGCACUUGUGCAUUUAUGCACGUGGGUGUGCAUGCCUGUGUGAGUGCACACAUGUGUUAGUAUGGUCUGCACACACAUAGGAGAAUGGUGCAGAGAACAGGAACAUGAAAAUUGGACACCUAGUCUACAAAAAUUACUGACAAUAAAUUCAUCACAAUUUCUCUCACCCACUGGUACCCAAGAAGGGUAAGUUGGAAUCACUUUUUAAAGUUGACAUUAUCAUUCCAUGGUGAAGAGGAGGGUUACGGAUCGAACUACGCUCCUGCUCAUUCAUACACCAAAGUGCUAAUCCCCAGCACCUCAGAAUAUGACCUCAAGUGGAAAGAAGGUUGUUGCAGAUGUCAUUAGUUAAGGUCAUACUGGAGUAGCGGGGCCCCUAGUCCAGUAUAUCAGUUUCAUUGUAAAAGGGAGAAACUGGAACAGAGACGCCCACACAGGGAGACCCCGUUGGAAGACUGAAUUCUGCUGUCACCAGCCAAGGAAGUACCAGGAGCUGGAGAGAGGUGUGGGACAGACCUUUCCCUGGGGCCCUCAAAGGGAGCGUGGCCCCACUGGCAUGUGGAUCUCAGAUGUGGAGCCUCCAGAACUGUGAGAUGAUAAAUUGCUGCUGCUCAAGCCAUGCCGUGCA